rnacentral:rRNA from 1 species
UGGAUGAUGUGGUUUAAUUCGAUUGCAACGACGAAAACCUUACCCACUUUGACAUGGCAGGAAUCCCGAAGAGAUUUGGGAGUGCUCGAAAGAGAACCUGCACACGGGUGCUGCAUGGCUGUCGUCAGCUCGUGUCGUGAGAUGUUGGGUUAAGUCCCGCAACGAGCGCAACCCUUGUCAUUAGUUGCCAUCAUUUGGUUGGGCACUCUAAUGAGACUGCCGGUGACAAACCGGAGGAAGGUGGGGAUGACGUCAAGUCCUCAUGGCCCUUAUGGGUAGGGCUUCACACGUCAUACAAUGGUCGGUACAGAGGGUUGCCAACCCGCGAGGGGGAGCUAAUCCCACAAAGCCGAUCGUAGUCCGGAUCGCAGUCUGCAACUCGACUGCGUGAAGUCGGAAUCGCUAGUAAUCGUGGAUCAGCAUGUCACGGUGAAUACGUUCCCGGGUCUU